CCGUAUUUGCACCACUGCCUUCAGGAUAAAUACAGCUAAGAUUUAUAGGGAUUUAUACUAGAAAGGAGGUAUUACUAAAAUAUAGUAUAAGUAACUCCAACACAGCUAUUUAAAGACCUAUGGGCAACAUGUAUUCUGUUACUCAUGCAGAAUUUACAAAAUGAACAGAUUUGAAAAUGGGAGUCUCCCAAGUCCUGACACAUUUUUAGUAGCUUUAGAAAUAUGAGCAUGAGAAGUACCGUUAAGUUCUAAUCAUUCAUUUCAGUGUGAUUUUUUUUUUUUGACAUGUAGUUCAUUGGAGUGCCAACCUGCAACCCACAUUUUUCCAAGAAGUGGAUGUUGUCUGGGAGUAUUUUCUCAGGAACUCAAGUGCUGCGGACCCAACCUGAAGUCCAUGGUUCUGUGCUUCUCCUGCAACAGUGGAUACUAUCUCAUUAUCACCUAAACCACUGCACAAGGAUUUACACUCCCUAUUUUGCUUCCACUGUUUUAGAUGCCCUCAAUCACAUCAGUGCAAACACAAACCAGCAUUUAGAUCUUGGCCAAUGUUGAAGAUUUUCUUCUUUUGUCUGCCAGUAGAGAUGAGAAAGUAAGGAAGACACAUUUGUUGUUAGCAUACGGC